rnacentral:rRNA from 1 species
UACAGAGGUGGCAAGCGUUGUUCGGAAUUACUGGGCGUAAAGGGCGCGUAGGCGGUUCGUUAAGUCCUGUGUGAAAUCCCCCGGCUCAACUGGGGAACUGCACAGGAAACUAGCGGGCUUGAGUUCGGGAGAGGGAAGCGGAAUUCCGGGUGUAGCGGUGAAAUGCGCAGAUAUCAGGAGGAACACCAGCGGCGAAGGCGGCGCUCUGGGCCGGUACUGACACUGAGGAGCGAAAGCGUGGGUAGCAAACAGG